ensembl:lncRNA
UGUAGAACAUGUACAACUUUUUGUUUCUUGAAGUUAAGUAUUGUCUUUUAUACUAAAACAUUUGAAAAGUUUUAGUUAGAUAUAAUUUGGCUGUCAGGUAUUCCAGUAUGAUUGUACAGGAAAUUUAUUAUAAAUGUAUGGCAAUCUGUAAAGUCAGAAUAUUCCUUUUUGUUUUCUUUGGACCUAGUGUUAAUCCAGGAUGCUUUAUUCAAUCAAAAAGUUAAUAAAUUAUGUCACUUAAGAAUAUUUAAAUGGCUAAAAAUACCGUUUAAAUCCUUAUGUGAAUUUUUUUUUAAAGCAUGGCUGGAGUGUUUCCAGUAACCAGAUACUAUUGUGUGAAUACAUGUGUUCUUGAUGUGCAGUGGUUCUAUAAGUGGUUCUAUACUAGUUUUUUUUGUUUGUUUUUUUGGCAGUUGUUAAUGAUUUAUGUCUUGCCAAGUGACCUAGGGACCUCAGACUGUUCUGCCUUGUGGGACCUAAAAAGUGGGAACGAAAAAGAUAAAGAACAAUAUAGAUGCUAAAUGUUGUGAUAAGUAUUUAUUUUGUGCACAUGCUUCCUUAAUACCAAGUGUGCUGCAGUGGAGUGAAAAUCUGAAAUUAGUUUUUCUCCAAAUCUGCAGUUAAUAUUUACUGAACUUUGGCAACAAUGAGUUUAUUCCAGGUUGGUGUGAUUUCUGUCCCUGGAGUGGAAUCUUAAGAAGUGAAGUUUAACUUUUUAUUUGACGUUUCUGCCAUUUCCCUUUUGUCCAGGAGUUUUGUCUUUGUUUAGACUAUAUUUUUUAUGUGUUUUAUUAAAAAUGGCUUGUCUUAGUAGAUUGAAAAGGACCAUUUGCUAAAAAUUGGACUUGAGAUCCAGGGACCCUUUAAGCUUUGCAAAAUACUGUAUUUUGGAGGAAGUUGCUAUUUCAAUAAUACAAAGUAAAGUUCAGUAACCUUAGUAAUUACACCACCUGAUAAAAUAGAUAACAUUUUUUAAAGUACAUUGGGUGAAGUCUUAAGAAAAGUUUUCAUCUCUAAUGUAUCUCUAAGAAAUUUUAAUUCUUGAAUAGACAGGUAAUUAUUUGACAGUUCUGGAGUUAAUUUCUAAGCUAGAUUUUUCAGAAAGAAAAAAGUCAAAAUAUAUAAUGGUUUAUUUAAAAUCUAAUAGUUGACCUGAAUUCUUGAACCUUUUGUAUUGAUGGAAAUGUAAUUGUUUCAGUUUGGCUAUUUAAUGAAAAACAUUGCUUUAAAUUUUUAAAAAUUCCAUGUUUUUGGUGCUUUGGAAAAAGGUAUGCUGUGGCAUUUGUGUCUGUUUUAAAAGCUUGAUUAUACUAGCACCAUUUUUUUAAAAAAUGGAACCUGUGAUGAGCCUGCUGAGGAUGGUUUCUUAUGCUAGCACAUAAGUCAGAUUUCAACGGAGUUUUAAAUGGUUAACUCCCUGGAUGCUGAACCUGUAUACUUAACUGUUCAGAACUUCCUUGGACUUGGAUUAAGAUUUAAUUCUAAUGAACAAGCUAAUAAAUGAAUAUGUUUAGUGUGGUUGGCAGUAUUGUGUAGAGUUUAGAGAUUUUGUUUCUGGUUAAGUGUACAACAUUUUACGUUGGAUCUGUUAAGAUUUUUUUCCCCUUGGGUAUGAUAAUAUAUACUAGCAAACAAUGUAAGUAUAAUUUAAAUGUAGCCAUCUUAAGAUACCAAUACUUGAACAAGUUGAUUACUGACUCAUCUGUAAUUAACCUGGGGAGAAAACAUCUUUGACCUGAGGCUUACCAGUGCUUUUUGGCUUUGACAGCCUGAAAACUUCUGAGAAAAAAAGGAACUUAAUGUGCUUUUGCAGGCUGUGCAUGUACAUGUCUUAUUUUUAGUCUGCAUAUAGAAGGCUAUCACUUAACAUUCUAUUUAACGCUGUUUAUAAAGUAUCAGACAUUCACUAAAAACUCUGGAGUCUUUGUUUUACAGGCAAGCCUGUCUUAAGCACAACAAACCAGACUUUGGGUUUUUCCUGUGCAUAAACUUGAAGAGUUCUUCAUACUGAUUCCUGACAAAUUUUGAACUGAAACUGCCUGGAGAAUAGUUUGGUGUACAUUAAAGUUUAUUGUAAAUCUAAUGAAAUACUGUUCUGUUAGUAACUGAGUAAUUGACUACUUUGUAGUUUGUCUAAUAUUGGAGGAUUUUGAGAACUCAGCUGAGCAGUAAAGGUAAGAAGAUCUCCGUAUACAAGGUUCAUUUUGGGUGUCUGACGGGAAGUAAAAGCAUGAGUUUCUAGAGUACUGUAUUCUUCGGCUUAGAGAUGUUUUAAUAGUUUACUCUUUUUUUUUUAAAGCUAUGUUAUAAGUACAUUUUUUUUUUAAUUUAUUUAUUUAUUUGGUACUAGGGAUUGAACUUGGGUCCUUGCGCUUGCAGAGCAGGCUGCGGAACCAGUGAGCUAAAUCCCUGGCCCCUAUAGUUUAUUUCUACUCAGUCUGAACUAAUGUAAAUUUCUCAUUUGGUAGAUAAAACUCAUUGUAUUUACUGAGUUUUAAAAAAUUACUAGGAAAAUGCAUGUACUCUAUGGAUUUUAAGACCCUAGGAAAUGUUGUCAAAGGCAUUUCCAAAUAACCUGAAUACAGAAGCACAGCACUUAGGGAUGCCUGAUUAUGAAUUUAGAAUUUGGUCAUGCUGUUUGAGUUAUUUUAGGGCAAUUAAUAAAAUACUCCAUUUGAAACUGUUUGUUUAAAAAUUACCCAUAAUGAGCAUAUUGGAAUAAAAAGGUUAUUUUUCUGAUGCUGUUUUUUUGUUUUGUUUUGUUCUUAUAAGAGUCUAAAAUUUAAUUGAGGAAGUGGGCAUAGGUACCAGAGUUAAUCUAUACCUAUUUAGUUAAAUCUAGUAAGGUAUCAAGUAAUUCUUAAGUUGACAAUUGAUCUGGAUUCCUAAUAUGUAACUAUUCGAUAAUGAAUGGCUCACUUGUUAGCUUAUUUUAAAUUUGUUGAAUGACAUAGAUGCUUCAAAUCUAGUCACUUGGGAUUUUAUUAAUAACCAUUAUAUUGGCACAUCUCCAUUUUGACUAGGAUCUUAUACAUGUUACUAAGGUGUUUCAGACCCUGUGGUACACUGAAGUUGAAGCCUAGCAGGGAAGCUCAAGGUUUGUGGAAUAAUUUAAAUGCUUUUGCUACUCAUUUGGUUCUAGGGUUGAAUGUUUUCUGUAUUUAGAACAAAUUGAACGAGAUGGUAUGUUCUAAGCAAGCUUCUAAGUUCAGCAGUUUUUAAACGUUGAAAAAAAGUCACAGUAAAUCCUUUGAAAAUAAGGUACUAGAUACAGCUUCAUGAAGUAUGCUGGUGUCCAGUACUUUAAAAAACAAGUAAAUGCCAACACAAAUGUAGAUUUAGUCAUUAUAGGCCAGUUAUUUAACAUAAAGAACAAAACAAAUGGUUGGUAUCCCUUAAAUGAUAAGUAAUUAGCUGAAUGAGCAUUGCUAAGACCAGAGACCUAAAUUUAGGGGUGUGUAUAUAUUUCCUAAGAGAAUUAGCACGUGCCCAUCGUGAUGCUUGUUUACUUGUGUCAACUUCAGUUUGCACAGAGUAAAAUACAUUGAAAGCUUGAAUUCCAAUAACCUGAAAGUGAAUUUUGUACAUAGUUGAGAUUUAACUCCAGGGAGAAUACCUUUGUUUCAGGCGUUAAGACUUCAGUGCAAGAAUAGAUGAAAAUUGGAAGCCUCUUGUAAGGUAGUUUAGGUAAUGUGUCACGUAGUUUGAUCCCUCAACACAAAAGUGCAUGGGUCAGGUUCACCAAAGACUUAAAACUAGAACUUUCAGAGUAAUUAUAAAAUUACUGGGGUACAGUUUUUAACUGUACUUGGGUGAUACAAUUGAUAAUUUGAUAGUUCACAAAAUAGACCUGGACUUUUCAGUCUAGGUAUGUUAGAAUCUUUGAGCAGGCUACUGAACAGACAGGUGUUCUGAGGAAUAUUUUGAUUUUGAUAUAUACUCAGAAUAUAAUCACUACCCUGAGUUGUCAGAAAUGGCACUGAAUGUCAGAGCAACACCUUAGAGUUUGUAGGGAUGUAAGAGACUAAAUAGUUCCAUAGGCAUUCACUCCUUGUUUUAUAGUUAGCUUAUUUUGCUUGCCAUUGCAAUUUUUGGCCAACUUCAAGUUCACGUUUGUUUCUGAAUCUGCAGACUUGCUCACUAUCCAACCGUAGGUAGUAGCUUUCCCCUUACUUGGCUCUCAUACACCACACAUAUAAUGUCUUUGUGUACUAUACAUAGAUUUCCUCAGGGGUUGUUUCAGAACAAGUAAGAGGGUGAAAGAUAUAGGCUACAUUUUCCAGGUAUUGGUCCUCCAGGAUUUGAAUUCCCCUCUAAUAAAUCUUUCAAAUCUAGCCUCAGAACACUUGAAGCAAAACUCCAGAGCUAUAACAAAGCAGCUACUUUAUCUAGGAAUUAUGCUUGGAAUUCUGUCUCAUUACAUUCAUUACUGCAACUCCUAAGGAAUCUCAGUCUAAGCAACACUUGAUUGAGAAUUCCAUGCUUAUUUUUUUAACCCUCAUAAGAAUUUUGUAAUCUCUAAAAUUGUAAGUUAUGCAGUUUCUGCCAUGUCCGAAAUAUUACUAGUGUGUAGAAUGCUUAAACCUUCAAUAGGGCCCAUGAAUGAAUUUCCUAGAAUGAGAGGUUGAGGGGAAGGAAGCAGCAAAAGUGAGAUCAGAUUCUAAUAUAUGUUUGACUUUAUGCAUGUGUAAUCAUCUUGGGGUACAUUUGACAACUUGAAGUAAUUAGUGUUAGCAGGGUUCUUGGCUUAAGUAAGUAGAAUUUAGAGUAAACAUUAAUCCUUCAGCAAAGAUAAAAGAAAGUUUCCUAAAGGUAGAAGGGUCAACAAAGAAAAUCUGAUAAUUCAAAUUAUGUGGGAAUGUAAUGGUGCUCUCUUGGGAAUACUUACCUCCUAAAUCUCACAACGCAACUGACAACAGUGAGGGCACCAAAAAUUCUGUACUUGUACAAAGAAAGGUGAAAAUACUGUACUGAGAGGCAGCAGUUAGUUUAGUAAAGUUAGUAGUUCUCAACAUGAUUAUGUUACCUGAAGUACAGGCUUUUGUUUUUUAAAUCAUGGUUCUUUGUGCUACAGUUUCAAGCUCCUGUUUUUGGUUCAGCAAGCAGUUUAACAUUUCCAUUUCCCUUGUCUAGUACAUUUACAUUUAGAAUAUCAAUACUAACCAAAACUCUUAAUUUUCCAAUAGGUUUCACUCCAAGCAGAAUUUACACAGAAGCUCUACUCUGGUGUAUGAUUAAAUUUUGAGCUGAUUGUUUGGCAAAGUUAUAUAGUAAACCAGUAACACUUGAGACAGGCUGUGUAUGUAUUAUGAGAGAAGAAUGAUAAAGGAUUGAGGAGUCCUGCUGUCACCUCAUAUUACAGAAAAUAAAGACAAGUUGAUAGGCUAGUUGAGGUCUCAGAACUAUACAUAUAUACACAUAUGCCUUAGCACAGUAGGUCUAGUCUGUGGGCUCCAAGAAUAUGUAAAUCCCAUUGUAAAUAUUCUGAGUUGCCACCUGAUAAUUGCCUAAUGGGUCGAGGAGUUUUAAGCAACUACUUAAGGAGUCUUAUUAGAGUUUAAUGUCAGGUUCUGGGUUCAAGUAUCAGUAGCCCCUGUUGGGGCAGUUUUAGUAUUCGACCCCCCAAAUUGUAAGCUCAGCUAGGCUUUUCCAUCGUGGUCAGUGGUGGCUGUCAUGAUUAUCUGGUUCACAUCAGCUGAAAGACCUUCCUUCAAAACAAAAUUUCAUCUCCACUCUGCUUGAACAAAUGUAGAUCUCUGGCCUACCAGAAGUAAGCCUGUGGGGGAGAGGUAAGAUCAAGGUUAGGCCUAAGUCUUAUGAUAAUGACUGACAGGUCCCCUUCCCCUCCCUGAAGCACACAGGAUACACAGGCAGAGUGAUGGUGCAGUUAGUAAGAGAUAAGAAUGCCCUAAGGGUUGAGGAAUAGCACCUUGGUUGACUAGACAGCAAAAAUGGAUUCUCAGAAUUGCAGGAGGGGGUUGAGAAGGUAGCCGCUGAGGCAAGCAACCAGGCUGCAGUGGUGUUCACCUGCUGUUGCUAGGUUCUCAGCUGUAAUGCUACUUCCUCAAAAAGGCCCUCCCUGAGUACCAGCCUUAUCUGAGUACCUGCCAUUUUUAUUCGGUGCACCAAGUAAAACUUUAAGUUGUAUCAAUGAUGUUUGUAUCAUUUUAUUGCCUAUUAUAUUUCAUAGUCCCACUGUAGUUAAUUACCAUAAAUUUAAACCUUAAGUUAAUGAAUUAAGGAAAGUUUUUUCAACAGUCCGUGGAAGGGGACAGAACACAAAGUGACUGGCUUAAGAAUUUUCCUCUGCAGUGCCAGUUUAAGAGGCUUGAAAAAAUGAUUGUAAGUCAAAUAUCCAGUUGCCAUUCUCUGAGUAAAAUGAUUUGCUCAGAACAGAAGGGGUGAUAGUAUACUUCUCACAUUCUCAUUCCAGGAAAAAUGUCUAGAAGUACGUAAGUCAACUAGCAGGUUAAGUCCAGAGAGGGGAAACUGAAAUAAGUGCAACCAGUAGGACGUGUGAACACUGAAGUGAAAUGAAGAUAGCAUCUGCAGAGUCUAAGGCAGUGUUUUUUUAAGUCUCAAAAUUAGCUUAAUCUGGGGCAUGAUCCUUUAGAGAAUAAAUAACACUAUUUUUUGGUUAAGAGAACAAAUGGUUUGAAUGUUUAUUUCAAAGGAAUUAGAAUUAUAUAUAUAUACUAGGACAUCAGUAGAAAAAAGGUACAUCACAAAACAGGAAAUAAGCAUUUUAAUUGAAGUUAAGCACAGAAGUUGUGUUUAUAAAUUAGUUUCUGUUUUAACUCAAGACAGUUAUACUCAAGUUCCAUAACAUACAGACAUUUUUGGCCAUUAGGAAUGUAGAGAUGAUCAAAGUCCUUGACUUUACCUUGAAAUUCUCUGGCCCAAUAGCAAGAUCAUCUGCUAAAUGCCAGAUCUUUGAAAAUGAGGAAGACAUAGUGUAUUCUUUCAAAUGAUUAAGCCUUCAUUAAGUACUUGUUGAAUGAAUUGAAGGUUUCUUUUAAAUAUGACUUGGCCAUUAAUAGAUUCUUUGAUGUAUUGCAGUAGGUAUAUAUCUGUUAACAUUUCUCACCUGAUGCCGAGUUUUGUCCAGACAGCUUGCCUUGGUGAAAAGAACAGAAAAAGAUUGUGUGUGGCAGGGACUGAGGGGCAGUGAAUAUAAAGAAAAUGCUAUCUCUGCACAUUUGUAUGUGAUGUGUAAGGAUGACAGGAGUGGCUGAAUGGGGCAGGACAGUGAUCUGGUUAAUUCUGAGAACUAGUGUGGUAAGAGAAUUCAGAACAAAUCUCAAGAAUAACAAACCUGCCUUUUAAGUAAGGAAGUGGGAAACCAGACCAUGACUUCAGGACUGCCAUUCUCCCAGAUCACUAGUCUUAGUGAUGGCAAACCUUUUCGAGCUUUCCAUGAUUGAUAAUAGUGGGCUACAGCAUGUUUGCCAUCAGUUCGCCACUACUGCCCUAUUCUAAAGGCUAUGUGUCCUCAAGGAUGUUGCAGGUAAUUUUGCGGUAAGCCUUACUAGAAUUAGUGAAAUGAAGUGGUAACUGACACUAAAUGACAGCUUACAAAGUACUACUGGAGCUCAGACAGGGAAAUGACUAAUGCAGUAAGUACUGUGUGCAUUUGGUACCCAUUACAACACACAAGUAAUUAAAAGGGACUUGUUCUCUAAAAGCGUAUGUAAAUAUAGUAAUUAGGUCUCUUUUUUUUUGAUAGUUUGGUUGUAGUGUGUUGAUCCUUGCUUAAUAUGAGGAUUCUAAUAUUGAACGUUUUUUUCCCAGCCAAAAAUGAAAUGUGCAAGUUACUACCAAGUGAAGCCAUUCAUAGUUGAUAUGACACUGCUAUGCCUGUGGUUCCCAUGUUGUCUACUGUCUUGAAACCAUCUUAGUCUGAGAAGAAUUUUUCCUUGCCCAAGGAACAAAGUAAAGUUGUACAUAGCAAUACAUUGAGACAUUAAAAGAUUUUACCCAGUUCUCUUUACUUCCUGUGUACUUUUUUUCUGUCAGCUCUUACUCAUUCUCAUAAGUGGAAAAGAAGGAAGUUUUGCAAAAUAUCCCUUGCAGGGACGUGAAAAGAUGUGCAUAAACAAUAUAGUAAACUUAAAAGAUUGCAUAAGGAUUUGGGUAUCCCUGGAAAUCAUGGCUUGAAAAGAUCUUCAUCAUGAACAGGCAACAACUUAGUAGUGAAUUUGUAACUUGAUGUCCAAAGAUGAAAAAUGUUCCUUUGUGUGCAGAAAUUCAUUGUAGCUUCAUGUGUACAAGAUGUUGCAGAUGGAGGACAAUAGGAAAGGGCUGGAAGAGUUUGGUUUAGAAUCAUUUUGUAUAGCAAGUGGGUUAGAAAAGAGAAAGUGGGGGCUGGGAAUUAGCUCUAUUGGCUGCCCAUGAUGGAGAUUCUGAGUUCAAUUCCAAGCUGUGGGCCCCCCCCCCCAAAAAAAAGUAGUUAUGGGGGGAAGGAGUGAAAUGGAAUUAAGAGACUGUCUUAGUGGCUGAGCUCACAAGAGACAAAAGACCAUGGCUGAUUCCCAGUAAUAGGGUGUGAGUAUUGCUAAAAAGCAGUUGUGCCUCCUCCUCUGGACCUUGACAGGUACCUUAGUCCUGACUUGGUGAAAACAAAUAACAGAUUAUUCUGCUCUGCUGCAAAACUUAGAAGAAUGGGGUUUUUUUUAUAAUCUUAAAAGUCAUUUUGAAUGGCUUGAGUAAUUUUGUUACAGAAGCUGUCAUGUAGGACUUGUGUUAACUAAAGUUAAUAUGGUAGAUUACAAUUAUUUUCAAUCACUGUAUAUUAAUUUUAUCUUAACAUUUCAUCUUAACAUUAACAUCUCUAUGAGAUAUUCCCAAGUUGGGGAAGCAGGCGGGAAAGUAUACAGGUGAUCAAAUUGACAGGGGUAAAUGAGGCAGCCAAUGUGAACAUUUAGGAGGUCUGGCCAGGUGGGAUGAUGCAUGCUUGUAAUCCCAGUUAUCAGAAGGCUAAGGCAGGAGGAUUGCCCUGAGUUCAAGGCCAAGCUGAACUGCACAGUGAGACCCUGUGUCAAAAAGUCAAAAUCUAGGAAAUCUGGUUCAGGAACCAGUUUUCUUAACUGCUAUGCUGCCUUCUAGGCCAGCUUUCAUUAUAUGUUAGCAUAGUGGGAAUGUAAAAUGAUGUUACCACUGAGCAGAAAUAUUUGGGGGGUUUUAAUAUCUGAAUUUACCUAAAAAUACAAAUUCCAUUUGAUCCAGCUAUACACUACUUAUGAAUAUCUUCCCAAAAGAUUUAACCAUAAUUCUAAAUGAAAUCAGACACACAAGACUUAAAUAUCACAAUUUCUCAUAUGAGAAAUAGUAUAAGGAGCAAAGUAAAGAUAGUAGGGAAAACUAAGUUUAUACCUUUUCUCAGAUUUUGUGGGAUAAAUCACAUUUCUGUUCCAAUAAAAAGUUUAUAAAAAUUUCAGAAAGCUUUACCCUAAUAUACUCUCACCAGAAAGAGAGGUAUGCAAAGAAGUCACAACGUUAGUUCUUGAGUGGUAUUUUCAGUGAUUUUUUUCCUGUAAUUUCACUUUUAGUUUCAAACAAGUUCUUUUAAAAUAAAAAUUCUGUGUUGGUUUUUUACGUUAAAAUCAGUCAUCUAGUCACUUUUUAGAGAAGAUGUAUUUCAAAAUGAUUGAGAAAAUGUCAGUAAAUCAACAUUCUAUUAGAUGUAAUUAAAUAAUUAUUUUCAGAGACAGCCUAGAGAACUGGGAUAUUGAGUAAUUACAUAUUGCUAAGGAUGCAGCAAUGCCAGUAUUGUCAGGAAGCCUAAAAAUGGAGUGAUGAGCUUCCUAACGCAUUUCAUUGUGUUAGCAUUAGGAUCUAAGAAAUACUUUUAAAAUGUAAUGAUACAACCUCACCUAUGACAGAUGUGAAACAAUACAUAAUGCAAAUAUCUCAACAAAUUAGCAAAAUAGGUGUCAUCACUGUGACUUAGCUCUGCUUUGGUAAAUUAAUAGACUCGAGUGAAAUAGAACACAAAUUUUUGGCAUAACUUGGAAAAGUGUAGGCAAAAUUAUCAAUAUUAGCAUUCAAAAUAGUUGUCUGCGAUAAUUUUUAGAAAAAUUACUAGUAAGACUUCUGUGAGGUAAUUUAACACAUUAUGAAAUGAUUUUCCUAGAUACAAACAAGUUGCAAAACAAAAAUUGUAAAAUAGUUAACAGUGAAAAACAUCUAGAAAAAAAUUCAGAGACACUGAGAGUGAAAGGUAGAAAUGCUUUCCAAAAUUGCCUAGGAAUUGAAAGAUGGAGGGUCAUUUUUUCCCAUGCCUUUGUGAGGUUAACCACCCCAAACUGGGUAGCAUAUGUAUAUUGAUACCUAUAGGCUUCCUUAGCCAAGGAUACAAUACAGAUACAACAAGGGAUGUUGUGUGGUGGUUUAUAUUGCUGGUCAGUGCAUAGAAUCUGUUGCCUCAGAAGUGACAAGGUGGGAUCAAGGAGAUUUAAAAUGGUGCACAAAAGGUGUCAAAUGGAACGCAGUUCCUGCACUUAUGCUUGUGUCUUGCAUUAAUCCCAGCUUAAUCACAAAAGUGCCCAUCAAAGCUGUUGCCGGGCAGAAUCAUGACACUGUAAAAAAGAAUUAGCUGCUCCUCCAGCUUUUGUCAUUGAUACUCAGCCUUUCCUUCACCAUCCAUUCCUUCUAGAUUCCUAGAUCUCUGCCUUACUAGCAUUUCUGUUUCAGUUACUGAUAGGUGGUACUACCUGGACACUGAAACUUGAGACGGGCUCCUUGCCAUAUACUUUCUGGCCUUCCGCUACUCCAGUUUUUCAUUAAGUGAGCAUAAAAAGUAUAGAUGUAGCCUGGUGAGUCCCCUGAGCUCAGUAAAAACUGCCUCUUUUUAUACCUGUUACUCUAGCUCAUGGUUAUCAGGACAAGUCGUAGUCACCAUAACAGUACCACCUCCCACUCUUAAUUGUUCCUUCAUGAAGGAGGCCAAAAUUAUUAGGUGGUAAUUGUAGCAUCAAAUUAAUUUCAUCAAGUUCUUUGCAUACUCAUAAUGAAACCAUUUCUUGUCCCCUACUUACAGACCAGGACCUCAGAUACGGAAGACCUAAAGUUUCAGAGCUAGGGAGUACAGAUUCUGCAAAUAGAUCGCAAGUAAUGGUUUGAGAGAUUCUCGGACUGAGCAGUUACUGGAUCCUCCAGCUCUUGAGCACACAGAUGGCCAUCAUGGGCUUUCACUUCUGAUCCUGUAAGCCUACCUUAUAAAGCCCCUUGUGUUUAAAAAAAAAUUAUCUAUCUAUACAUAUACUAUAUAUUUUACCAAUUGCAUUUCUCUAGAAAACUAAUAUAGUAUCUUAUGUUGGCCAUUGAUUUUAGUGCAUACUUCAUGGUGGCUUAUCUUGACCCAGGAGGGAUUGUCCCUGGCCUGAUGCUUGUUUGAGCCUUAAUGAGGCUAUUGUAUGUGGUGUUAGCAUUUUUGUAAUUAUGAUGAUCCUGGAUGAAGUGUAUUACUUAAGACUAUUGGACAGUGUGUUAGUGGCCUCAACUUUGCCAUAAAAUAAAUCUCUUGGUUUGAGGAAUAUGGGGGAUAUUAUACGUAACUGGAGAUUCUGUAAGUGUUCAGAUAGUGAUGGUGAUAGAAAAACUGAGCAAAGAAAACAAACUCACUUCUGGAAAGGGUCUAUUUAAGGAAGGACAAAUUGUUGUUUCCUUCUUAGUUUAAAUCUUGAGUCAAGAUAAUUAGUCUCCCAAGUGUUUGGCUAGGCUCUCAGUGCGUGACAGGUGAUUGCUACACCUGACUUAGAGAGCCUGCCUACUUCUAGACUAGUGUGGGGAGGACAAACUUCUCUGUUUAAAUCAUUGUUGUUAUAACAGUUUAAACUUACUUGAACUAAUGCAGACAUUAUCAGGAAAUGGGGUGUUUCUGCAAUACAAAAUUGAAGUAGAUUAUUGAUUGGUAAUUGAAGGGUAAAGAAAGAUAGGGCAGGCUGUCGAGUAAUUACCAGGUAAAAGUGAGCCACUGCAAGCAAAAGGAAAGGGAAUCCAGUUCUGCUGAUGACUCAUCCUAAAAUAAACAUCUGGAUUGGCUGAUUUGACAAUAUUUCAGGAACUCACAGAUUGGAAAACCAACUCUGUACCUUAAAACAGGAAAUACCUUUGUCCCUUAGCAUUUCUCAAAAGCCUCUAGUAUAUGUUCUCAACUAGCAAGUAGGAAUCCGCUCUACAAGGUAGUUUAAGGGCAUUCCACUCCUUCCUGAACCUAAUUAUUCUAGGUGGGCUCAAGGUAGUCAUCACUAAAUUGAGAGGUGAAUAUUGUCUUAGUUACUUUCCCGGUGCUAACACACAAUACCUGACACAACUCAAAGGAGAAGAGGUUUACUUUUUGCUCAUACUUUGUAGAGGUUACAGUCCGCAGUUGGUGACUCCUGGCUCCAAGGCAGGACAGCAUGGCAGAGGACAAGUGGCUCAUGGCAUGGCAGCAGGAAGCAGAACCGAGAGAAGAGAUAGAAAUACACUUUUCCAGACCAUGCCCCUAGUGACCCACUGCCUCCCACCAGGCCUUCCUCUCACCACAUUUAGCUAUAAACUCACCAGUUGAUAUGUCCACUGAGGCGUAUCAGGCCCCCAUGAUUCAAACACUUACCCAAAAUCCCAUUAAUGAGUCUUUGGGUGACAGCUAUAAAUCAUAACCAGAAAAUAAAGUAGAAUCUGAAAUUGUUUUUGUUUCUGAGAUAGAUAUGCAGUUCAGGCUACCCUUGUAACCCAAGCUGUCUUCAGGCUCCCAGUACAGUGAUCCUCCUGUCUCAGCCUUCGGAGUGUUAGGAUUACAGGGAUUUGCCAUCAUGACUUAAGUCAGAAGUUUUAAGAACAGUAACAUGACUUGAUUUUUGAGAAUGCCUUAACAUGGAAGUGAAUGUAAGUCUAAGAGACAACUCAAAUUUGAGAGUAGAUUAUUUUCCAAAGAAAUCCCAGUCAUGGUUCCUGUCUCCAACAAUUCCCAGUUGUAAACUACCAGCAGAAAAAAUACUGUUGAAGCCACAUAAUCACCAAGAGGGUGACUCAACAGCUCAUUUCAGAGGUGUGCCAAUUCACUUACACUUUUCAGCUGUAAAUUCUUCUUUGCCUAUAUGUUGGCCUUCAAAUAGUUUCCACCUAACAGGAGUUGGUAUGGUAUUGAGCUUUAUCAAUAAAAGUUUCUGGAGAGUUUGCAUGAGGAACGAGUAUUCUUUCCUGAUUUGGUGUGUUCAUCUGGUAGGCCCUUGUGACGUGGAUAACUUCUCCAUUGCCCAGAUCCUUCAGGGUACGUCUGUGAGCGGCACCCAGAGACAACAGCUUCAUCACGUAGCUGCAUAGUGAUGUGUCUAUAGCAAAAUGCCACCCAAUGAACAGUUACUAACACUUGAGCAGUGAUGACAAACCCAUGGCAUGCAUGCUGUAGCUGGCUGUUGUCAUUGAAAGCGCUAAAAAGCUCACCAUCACUGCUCUAAAGAGUGGAUUUCUGGUAAAUUCUGGUGGCUCAACCCUAUGGUGACUAACCUUGUCAUGUGUGAGAGAGAGUUCUGUGGGGCUUGUCCUGGAGGAUCUAUUUCAGGCCUAGAGAUAGUGGCUGCUGUUUGUAUCUAAUAUUCCUAUAUUCCUUUGAGUUCUCUGUAGUUCUAACUGGCAAGUCCUGCUUUUAGUAAUUAUUUGUAAUGAGCUUUCAGUGUUCAAAUCAGUGUGUGUGUGUGUGUGUGUGUGUGUGUGUUUCCUGAUCGGGGCCAAAUGGAUAUGACACCACAGUAGAAAAUAGAUAAAGAGAAUGAAUUUUCCGAAUGAUAAAUCCAGUGACCAUGGGGUGGCAGUAGUCAAAGGAAUUCCUGCAGGAAAUCAGAACCAGAGUUUAAGCAAGGAAUUUACUAAAUUUCCUGGGAAGGAAGCCUUCUGAAUUUCUGCCAAACUGAAAAUCAUAGUGAUUGCUAUUUCCCAUUUAUUUUCAUUAUGGUAGUUUCCCUUAUGGUGUUGUAUGCUACUCCACCAUUUUGCAUUGAGAUGUAUUGGAUUGCAAUUAACUUGUAUAAUAAUAAUAGUUGUUGGUCCUUGAGACCUUUGUAUCAAGAGGCAAAAAAUACUCAGAGAUCUCAGAUUUUGAACUGGGAACAAGGAUGAUCUUUAGUUGCAUUCCUUGGGGAAGACCUGUGUUUUUCAUAUGGGAGGAUUGUUGCAUUUGGAUACUUGGUCUAGAGGCUAAAGGUAGGUAGUAACUUCUAAUUGUUCCCCAAUAUAUGUUCCCUAUUUUCAUUUCAGUAAUAAAACACCUUGAAUUUUUGCUGAGUGUCUGCCCAACUGGAGACUACAUUUUUCCGAUUUCCUUGAUGGAUAGUAAGGCUGAAUUCUUGACAAUAGGAUGUGACAAGUGAUACAUGUUACUUCCCAGUCUUGUUUUAACACAGAUGUAUGCUGCUUGUGAACCAGUUUUGAACAUGUAGUCAAGGAGAGACUUUGGGAGUGGUUGAAGAACCCACAUAGAAAACCUGGGUUGCUGAAUGUGCCCUUGUGAAGCAGAGACUCCUGGAUUGCUUGCUUGCUUCUCGAAUGAUGUGUAAAAGAAUAAUAAAACUCCUCACUUUUUGUGUGUGUGUGGUUUAUUUUUUUUUGAGCUAGUCUGUUCCUGGUCUUUUUGUUACAUCAGCUAACCUGUUCUCUAACACUGUUGUUGUCACAUUUGUUUCAAAUGAUACGUAUUUCUUUCAAAUCUGACAUGAACUUUUACAGUGUUUCUUUCCCUUGAGCCUUCUUCUACCAUUUUUUUUUCCAGGCAGAAGUGUUUGCAG